UACGGAGGGAGCUAGCGUUAUUCGGAAUUACUGGGCGUAAAGCGCACGUAGGCGGCUUUGUAAGUUAGAGGUGAAAGCCUGGAGCUCAACUCCAGAACUGCCUUUAAGACUGCAUCGCUUGAAUCCAGGAGAGGUGAGUGGAAUUCCGAGUGUAGAGGUGAAAUUCGUAGAUAUUCGGAAGAACACCAGUGGCGAAGGCGGCUCACUGGAGCUGGUAUUGACGCUGAGGUGGCGAAAAGCGGUGGGGAGCAAACAGG
rnacentral:rRNA from 1 species